rnacentral:misc_RNA from 1 species
GAAAUGUGAUAACUAGUGUGAAUUGCAGAAUUCCGUGAAUCAUCGAGUCUUUGAACGCACAUUGCGCCCCCUGGUAUUCCGGGGGGCAUGCCUGUCCGAGCGUCAUUGCUGCCCAUCAAGCACGGCUUGUGUGUUGGGUCGUCGUCCCCUCUCCGGGGGGGACGGGCCCCAAAGGCAGCGGCGGCACCGCGUCCGAUCCUCGAGCGUAUGGGGCUUUGUCACCCGCUCUGUAGGCCCGGCCGGCGCUUGCCGAACGCAAAUCAAUCUUUUUCCAGGUUGACCUCGGAUCAGGUAGGGAUACCCGCUGAACUUAAGC